GACGAACGCUGGCGGCGUGCCUAAUACAUGCAAGUAGGACGCUGAAGAGAGGAGCUUGCUCUUCUUGGAUGAGUUGCGAACGGGUGAGUAACGCGUAGGUAACCUGCCUUGUAGCGGGGGAUAACUAUUGGAAACGAUAGCUAAUACCGCAUAACAAUGGAUGACACAUGUCAUUUAUUUGAAAGGGGCAAUUGCUCCACUACAAGAUGGACCUGCGUUGUAUUAGCUAGUAGGUGAGGUAACGGCUCACCUAGGCGACGAUACAUAGCCGACCUGAGAGGGUGAUCGGCCACACUGGGACUGAGACACGGCCCAGACUCCUACGGGAGGCAGCAGUAGGGAAUCUUCGGCAAUGGGGGCAACCCUGACCGAGCAACGCCGCGUGAGUGAAGAAGGUUUUCGGAUCGUAAAGCUCUGUUGUAAGUCAAGACACGAGUGUGAGAGUGGAAAGUUCACACUGUGACGGUAGCUUACCA
rnacentral:rRNA from 1 species